rnacentral:rRNA from 1 species
UACAGAGGGUGCGAGUGUUAAUCGGAAUUACUGGGCGUAAAGCGCACGUAGGCGGUUCGUUAAGUUGGGUGUGAAAGCCCCGGGCUCAACCUGGGAAUGGCAUUCAAAACUGUCGAACUAGAGUAUGGUAGAGGGAAGCGGAAUUUCCGGUGUAGCGGUGAAAUGCGUAGAUAUCGGAAGGAACACCAGUGGCGAAGGCGGCUUUCUGGACUAAUACUGACGCUGAGGUGCGAAAGCGUGGGGAGCAAACCGAAUUAGAAACCCGAGUAGUCC